CUUUAGCACCAAGUAUUAAAGGUGCCGCCUGCCCAGUGAUUAUUUAAACGGCCGCGGGAUCCUCCACCGUGCAAAGGUAGCAUAAUCACUUGUCCCCUAAAUAGUGACUAGUAUGAACGGCCUAAUGAAGAUUUAACUGUCUCUUACAAUUAAUCUAUGAAACUAAUCUAUCAGUACAAAACCUGAAAUAUUUACAUAAGACGAAAAGACCCUGUGGAACUUCAAGCUACGCCUCAACCAUAUGACCGCUCUGCUUUUAGUUGGGGCAACUUUGGAACAAAACAAAACUUCCAACAAUUUAAUGGUCUACACACCUAUUUUAUUUUCUUCCUUAUUGACCCAGUCCCACUGAUUAAAGAACCAAGCUACCCCAGGGAUAACAGCGCCAUCCCCUCCAAGAGCCCAAAUCGACGAGUGGGGUUUACGACCUCGAUGUUGGAUCAGGGCCCCCAAACAGUGCAACCGCUGUUAAAGGUUUGUUUGUUCAACAAUUAAAGC
rnacentral:rRNA from 1 species